CUCAGGCUUUGUUUUUGAAGAAAUGGGCAGCUGGCCUGCCUGUCAUGUUGGAGCGGGAAUGGCUAUACAUCAUGAUUUUCUGCUGCAACUGAGGCAAUGUAGGAAAGUGGCCAGUAAGUGAGUGGGCCAGUGAAGGAGUGGAGAUUUGAGGCUUUGACUUGAGAGAUUCUGGCAGUUUUGGCAGUUGGACUGUGCAAUCAAGUCAAUCAAGAUUUGAAUAACUCAGACUCAGCAGAAAGCAGCUGAUUGGGCAAUCGAGGUCAGGUGACCAAGCAGUUUGAAAAGCUCAAACAAAUAAAUGGAGGAUUACCUCAAGAGGAGCAGCCUGUGGAAAGCGGCCAGUGAGUGAGUGGAUCAGUGAAGGAGUGGAGAUUUGAGGCUUUGACUCGAGAGGCUUCGACAAGAAGAGGCUGAGGACGAGCUUCACUCCAAGUGAGACAUCCACAAAACAGAAGAAAAACGCCAAAGAAUGAAUGGCAGAAAAAUAUGUAAGGACACCAAAGCCCCUGCCCCCAACCACACACAAGCAGCAUCAACCCUCUCCCAUUUAUUCUGAUCCAGACCACUUGCAGGCAGCCCAGUCCUUGUGUUUUUGUGUGUAGUCUUGUCAAGACUUGACCAAAAGCACAGCAACAUUUAUGCUCCCUGCUUACCCUCAUCCUUGUCUGGGAAAGAAGACUACCAUUUUGAUUAACAUUGCCAAGGAGUAGUGUUUAUUUAGUAUUAGUUAUUGCUUCCAGCUGCAGUGUUGAUGUUAACUUUCAGUUUGAGAGUUUUAGUCAAUGGCCCUGUUGGUCUAGCAUUUAUUGUUCUUUUUCUUUUAAGUUCUGCAACAGUUCUGAUUAAAUUCUGUGAAUU